rnacentral:rRNA from 1 species
CCUACGGGAGGCAGCAGCUAAGAAUCUUCCACAAUGGACGAAAGUCUGAUGGAGCGACGCCGCGUGAACGAUGAAGGCCGUAAGGUUGUAAAGUUCUUUUUGGAAGGAAGAAUAAGCUUGGCAGGGAAUGGCCGAGUGAUGACGUGAAUUCCAGAAUAAGCCCCGGCUAACUACGUGCCAGCAGCCGCGGUAA